rnacentral:rRNA from 1 species
GACGGAGGAUGCAAGCGUUAUCCGGAAUGAUUGGGCGUAAAGCGUCCGCAGGUGGCGGUUCAAGUCUGCUGUCAAAGACCGGGGCUUAACUUCGGAAAGGCAGUGGAAACUGAACAGCUAGAGUAUGGUAGGGGCAGAGGGAAUUCCUGGUGUAGCGGUGAAAUGCGUAGAGAUCAGGAAGAACAUCGGUGGCGAAGGCGCUCUGCUGGACCAUAACUGACACUCAGGGACGAAAGCUAGGGGAGCGAAUGGG